CCUACGGGUGGCUGCAGUGGGGAAUAUUGCACAAUGGGGGAAACCCUGAUGCAGCGACGCCGCGUGAGUGAAGAAGUACUUCUUUAUGUAAAGCUCUAUCAGCAGGGAAGAAAAUGACGGUACCUGAGCAAGAUUCCCCGGCUAACUUCGUGCCAGCAGCCGCGGUACUACGUAGGGGGCAAGCGUUAUCCGGAUUUACUGGGUGUUAAGGGAGCGUAGACGGCAGUGCAAGUCUGGAGUGAAAGGCGGGGGCGCAACCCCCGGACUGCUCUGGAAACUGUACGGCUGGAGUGCAGGAGAGGUAGGUGGAAUUCGUGGUGUAGCGGUGAAAUGCGUAGAUAUUAGGAGGAACCCCAGUGGCGAAGGCGGCUUACUGGACUGUAACUGACGUUGAGGCUCGAAAGCGUGGGGAGCAAACAGGAUUAGAUACCCGGGUAGUC
rnacentral:rRNA from 1 species